GACGAACGCUGGCGGCGUGCUUAACACAUGCAAGUCGAACGGAAAGGCCCUGCUUUUGUGGGGUGCUCGAGUGGCGAACGGGUGAGUAACACGUGAGUAACCUGCCCUUGACUUUGGGAUAACUUCAGGAAACUGGGGCUAAUACCGGAUAGGAGCUCCUGCUGCAUGGUGGGGGUUGGAAAGUUUCGGCGGUUGGGGAUGGACUCGCGGCUUAUCAGCUUGUUGGUGGGGUAGUGGCUUACCAAGGCUUUGACGGGUAGCCGGCCUGGGAGGGUGACCGGCCACAUUGGGACUGAGAUACGGCCCAGACUCCUACGGGAGGCAGCAGCGGGGAAUAUUGCACAAUGGGCGGAAGCCUGAUGCAGCAACGCCGCGUGCGGGAUGACGGCCUUCGGGUUGUAAACCGCUUUCGCCUGUGACGAAGCGUGAGUGACGGUAAUGGGUAAAGAAGCACCGGCUAACUACGUG
rnacentral:rRNA from 1 species